rnacentral:lncRNA from 1 species
CAUGACGGCACUUAAAGCUAGAUUGCUCUAGAAGGACCUCCUCUUCUCACUCAAAAAGUAGUACCCUAGAGAUUGCUGAAAUGUUGGAGUGAGCCGAGAAUUAUGCCAAUGCAGAAGAGGCCUGAGAUUGGCAUGGAGAGAACCUUGACAGCAGAUCCCAAGCAAAGAACAACCAGGGGAAAGGGAAAGGACUACAUGCAGCUA